rnacentral:rRNA from 1 species
GAUGAACGCUGGCGGCGUGCCUAAUACAUGCAAGUCGAGCGAACAGACGAUGAGCUUGCUCCUCUGACGUUAGCGGCGGACGGGUGAGUAACACGUGGAUAACCUACCUAUAAGACUGGGAUAACUUCGGGAAACCGGAUCUAAUACCGGAUAAUAUAUUGAACCGCAUGGUUCAAUAGUGAAAGACGGUUUUGCUGUCACUUAUAGAUGGAUCCGCGCCGCAUUAGCUAGUUGGUAAGGUAACGGCUUACCAAGGCAACGAUGCGUAGCCGACCUGAGAGGGUGAUCGGCCACACUGGAACUGAGACACGGUCCAGACUCCUACGGGAGGCAGCAGUAGGGAAUCUUCCGCAAUGGGCGAAAGCCUGACGGAGCAACGCCGCGUGAGUGAUGAAGGUCUUCGGAUCGUAAAACUCUGUUAUUAGGGAAGAACAAAUGUGUAAGUAACUAUGCACGUCUUGACGGUACCUAAUCAGAAAGCCACGGCUAACUACGUG